CGUACUUCCUGUAAGGGGCGUGGCCCUCACAGGAAACAGGCGCAAUCCCCAUUUCCGGGCGAAGCUUUAGCGCAGGCGAAGUUAAGCAUGAACUUCUUGGCGGCAGCCGGCGCUAGGCGGCUGUGCGCAGUGCGCGCAGUCCUUCCUUGCCUUUGGAGAGGAAAGUACUUAAGCUCUGGGAAUGAGCCUGCAGAAAACAAUUCUGUGACCCCCAUGCUGAGGCAUCUUAUAUACAAAAUCAAGUCUACUGGUCCCAUCACUGUGGCCGAGUACAUGAAGGAGGUCUUGACGAACCCAGCCAAGGGCUAUUAUAUGAACCGUGACAUGCUAGGAGAAGAAGGAGAUUUCAUUACUUCACCUGAAAUAAGUCAGAUGUUUGGGGAGCUCCUAGGGAUAUGGUUCAUCAGUGAAUGGAUAGCUGCUGGAAAAAAUGCAGCUUUCCAACUGGUGGAACUAGGCCCAGGCAAGGGAACCCUCUUGGGAGAUAUUUUGAGGGUAUUUAGUCAGCUUGGGUCUUUGCUGAAAAACUGUGACAUUUCACUACAUCUGGUAGAGGUGAGCCAGAAAUUAAGUGAGAUUCAAGCAUUAACGUUGACUGAAGAGAAGGUCCCAUUAGAGCAAAAUGCUGAAUCCCCAGUAUAUAUGAAAGGUGUCACUAAAUCUGGAAUUCCAGUUUCCUGGUACCGAGAUCUUCAAGAUGUUCCAAAAGAGUACAGCUUUUAUCUCGCACAUGAAUUUUUCGAUGUUCUUCCUGUGCAUAAGUUUCAGAAAACACCACACGGAUGGCGAGAAGUACUUGUUGAUAUUGACCCACAGGUUUCUGAUAAACUGAGAUUUGUUUUGGCGCCAUGUGCCACCCCAGCAGAAGCGUUCAUACAAAAUGAUGAAACAAGGGAUCAUGUGGAAGUGUGUCCUGAGGCUGGUGUUGUUAUUCAGGAACUUUCUCAACGCAUUUCACUAACUGGAGGUGCUGCCCUGAUCGCGGAUUAUGGUCAUGACGGGACUAAGACAGACACCUUCCGAGGGUUUUGUGGCCACAGGCUUCAUGAUGUCCUAACUGCCCCGGGAACAGCAGACCUAACAGCUGACGUGGACUUCAGUUACUUGCGUAGAAUGUCCCAGGGGAAAGUAGCUUCCCUGGGUCCAAUAGAACAGCAAACUUUUUUAAGAAAUAUGGGCAUUGACGUCCGGCUGAAGAUUCUUUUAGAUAAAACAGAUGACCCAUCAUUGAGGCAGCAGUUACUUCAGGGGUAUAAUAUGUUAAUGAAUCCUAUGAAGAUGGGAGAAAGAUUCAACUUUCUUGCCUUGGUACCUCAUCAGAGACUUCAUGGUAGAAAUCAUCAGACGAAUGCACGUCAGUCAAAACCCUCUCCAUCACCUGUAGCUGGGUUUGGUGAACUUGCUUGGCAGUGAUAUUUCAGUUUGGACUUUUCACCCCCAAGUUGGCCUAAGAAACCAGACUAAAGGGAACAUAUUUUAUAUAUCACAGAUGACAGCAUACAAAGAACAACAGUUACGCAGCAAAAUACCAGUCCAUGACAUGACAUGCUUCCUUACUGAAGUUAGCUCAUUGGUAACUAAGGAUCUUCUUCCAUGUCAUCUGGAUUGGGAGCCAUAAUGAAGUGCUUUGGGUAUACAAGGUUGUGUGUGUAUGCAUGUAUUUCCCAGCGGGCAUCGUCACUUUCGUGUGUAAUGUAACGUUCACCAAUGCGAGUUUCAAAUUCUCUAAGGUCAAGCCAAGUCUGAUAGUCCUAGGGGAAAAAAAAUGAAGAUUAUGAACAGUAAAAGAAACAAAAUACUGUUAACUUGUUUUUUUGCUUAGCACCCUAGUUAUGUAAUUGACAACCCCUACCCCCUGCUGCUGCUGCUAAGUUGCUUCAGUCGUGUCUUGUUCUGUGCGACCCCAUAGACGGCAGCCCACCAGGCUCCCAUGUCCCUGGGAUUCUCUAGGCAAGAAUACUGGAAUGGGCUGCCAUUUCAAAUACUAGCUAUACAAUAAGUUCCAUUUGUAAUACUUUAGGUUAGCAAUGUUAUAGAUACUUUUUCAGAUUUAGUCUCUCUCAUGAAGGAAGUAACUCUUCUAAAAUUAAAAAAAAAAAAAAAAAAAAAUACUGCCUCAGCCCUCUGAGGUGGUUAAUAAUAACUAUUAAUCUGAUUACACCUUACUCCUCAAAACAGGGGAAACGUGCUUAGACUCUGUUGUCAGGAUAAUUUAAUAGUUGCUGAGAUUAAUUAUGACUACAUCUGUUCUAAAGUUACUUAUAUCCCUCAUUCCCUUUACAGUAAUUGUUCUAAAGCUUCUCUCUAGUCUGAAGUUUGGGGGUAUCUUUUGAUAAAUCUAUGCAAUGGCUUUUAGGGGAAUUAAACCAAACAUUUAAAAUGGCAUAUCUGAUCUUUUCAAUAUAAAAUAUAAACCUUUUGGUGGACAUUUUAAAAAUAAAAUAUAUUUGACAAUAUAAUGUGUUAUGCUCACCUUACAAAAAGGUGAAAUAAACACCAUAAGGCCCUAAGACAUGUAGAAUCUGAUGAUCUUUUAAGAGUGGUUUCAUUAAAUAAAACAAAUCACCACUAACUGCUCAAAUGAGGAUUGCUAAAGAGAAAUACAUUGUUUUUACCUGCAGCCAGGGAUGACUAAGAGAUUUGUCUACGCUGUAACGUUUUCUCAUCUUCACUUGAAGUAGGUUGUUUAUCAAAUCAAUUGCUAAGGGAAAAGACAAAAUAAGCUAUGUGAAUCUGAGCACUGACCACCCCAAACCUGUGACUCUGCCUGGAAGGCAGUUCAAUCCACAGAAAUAUACGGUUCAAGAUAUUUGCUUCUCGAGGACAUAGCCUUUAAGCUAACAUAUUAGUGACUGAUAAAUAUUUAUUGAAUUCAGUAUACCUGGUUUAUUAAGGAGAUAGUACAGAAUACAAGUUUAAAGUGUAGACUGGAGCCCGCCCGCUUGAGCCCAAGUUGUGACUGUGUGACAUGGGGUCAGUUAACUGCACUGUGCCUGUUUGCUCAUCUGUAAAAUAAGGUUGUUGAGAAGAUGAAAUAAACUUAAUACACACAAAGG